UAGCCAUUUAAAUAUUUUACAUCUAUAUAUAUAAAAGAAAGUCGAGGUUGUGUUAGUUACACCAUUUAUAACUCGAGAACGACUGAACAGAUUUUUAAAAUUUUACAUGUAUAUACUAGCGGUCUGGGAAUAGGAUAAUAUGGAGUUUCAUACCCGUACGUCAUAAGGGGUGUUGCCCCCCUGAUAUAUUUUUUUAAUUUUUGGAAAAACCGUUUUUUACUAUUUUUAUGAGAUGUAGAAGCAAAAGAUACAUACAAUCCUAAAUUUUCAAUUUUUUAUCUCAGACCGUUAUUUUUUAAUAGCCAUUUAAAUAUUUUACAUCUAUAUAUAUAAAAGAAAGUCGAGGUUGUGUUAGUUACACCAUUUAUAACUCGAGAACGACUGAACAGAUUUUUAUGAAAUUUUACAUGUAUAUUCUAGCGGUCUGGGAAUAGGAUAAUAUGGAGUUUCAUACCCGUACGUCAUAAGGGGUGUUGCCCCCCCUGAUAUAUUUUUUUAAUUUUUGGAAAAACCGUUUUUUACUAUUUUUAUGAGAUGUAGAAGCAAAAGGUACAUACAAUCCUAAAUUUUCAAUUUUUUAUCUCAGACCGUUAUUUUUUAAUAGCCAUUUAAAGAUUUUACAUCUAUAUAUAUAAAAGAAAGUCGAGGUUGUGUUAGUUACACCAUUUAUAACUCGAGAACGACUGAACAGAUUUUUAUGAAAUUUUACAUGUAUAUUCUAGCGGUCUGGGAAUAGGAUAAUAUGGAGUUUCAUACCCGUACGUCAUAAGGGGUGUUGCCCCCCCUGAUAUAUUUUUUUAAUUUUUGGAAAAACCGUUUUUUACUAUUUUUAUGAGAUGUAGAAGCAAAAGAUACAUACAAUCCUAAAUUUUCAAUUUUUUAUCUCAGACCGUUAUUUUUUAAUAGCCAUUUAAAUAUUUUACAUCUAUAUAUAUAAAAGAAAGUCGAGGUUGUGUUAGUUACACCAUUUAUAACUCGAGAACGACUGAACAGAUUUUUAUGAAAUUUUACAUGUAUAUUCUAGCGGUCUGGGAAUAGGAUAAUAUGGAGUUUCAUACCCGUACGUCAUAAGGGGUGUUGCCCCCCCUGAUAUAUUUUUUUAAUUUUUGGAAAAACCGUUUUUUACUAUUUUUAUGAGAUGUAGAAGCAAAAGGUACAUACAAUCCUAAAUUUUCAAUUUUUUAUCUCAGACCGUUAUUUUUUAAUAGCCAUUUAAAGAUUUUACAUCUAUAUAUAUAAAAGAAAGUCGAGGUUGUGUUAGUUACACCAUUUAUAACUCGAGAACGACUGAACAGAUUUUUAUGAAAUUUUACAUGUAUAUUCUAGCGGUCUGGGAAUAGGAUAAUAUGGAGUUUCAUACCCGUACGUCAUAAGGGGUGUUGCCCCCCCUGAUAUAUUUUUUUAAUUUUUGGAAAAACCGUUUUUUACUAUUUUUAUGAGAUGUAGAAGCAAAAGGUACAUACAAUCCUAAAUUUUCAAUUUUUUAUCUCAGACCGUUAUUUUUUAAUAGCCAUUUAAAGAUUUUACAUCUAUAUAUAUAAAAGAAAGUCGAGGUUGUGUUAGUUACACCAUUUAUAACUCGAGAACGACUGAACAGAUUUUUAUGAAAUUUUACAUGUAUAUUCUAGCGGUCUGGGAAUAGGAUAAUAUGGAGUUUCAUACCCGUACGUCAUAAGGGGUGUUGCCCCCCCUGAUAUAUUUUUUUAAUUUUUGGAAAAACCGUUUUUUACUAUUUUUAUGAGAUGUAGAAGCAAAAGGUACAUACAAUCCUAAAUUUUCAAUUUUUUAUCUCAGACCGUUAUUUUUUAAUAGCCAUUUAAAGAUUUUACAUCUAUAUAUAUAAAAGAAAGUCGAGGUUGUGUUAGUUACACCAUUUAUAACUCGAGAACGACUGAACAGAUUUUUAUGAAAUUUUACAUGUAUAUUCUAGCGGUCUGGGAAUAGGAUAAUAUGGAGUUUCAUACCCGUACGUCAUAAGGGGUGUUGCCCCCCCUGAUAUAUUUUUUUAAUUUUUGGAAAAACCGUUUUUUACUAUUUUUAUGAGAUGUAGAAGCAAAAGAUACAUACAAUCCUAAAUUUUCAAUUUUUUAUCUCAGACCGUUAUUUUUUAAUAGCCAUUUAAAUAUUUUACAUCUAUAUAAAAAUUCGCCGGUCGCAGUGUUUGUUACCAUACUCCUCCGAAACGACUUAACCGAUUUUUAUGAAAUUUUGCAGGUAUAUUGGACUGUACUGGGAGUAGGUUGCUGUCUAUAUUUCAUACCCGUAUGUCAUUAGGGGGUUGCCCAUGACGCCGUAACUCUCACAAUAAUGACGUGAAAAAUAUGAAAUUAAGUAGGUAGACUCCUUGCUGAAUUCCGAGCAGAACCGUACUAAAAUUUUUUGUCUAGCACAAUCGGUGUCCGAAAUACAAUAUCUCAAGCCGUAGGAAUAUUCUGAGGACAGAAGAAGAACGAGCGACAAAUUUCAUAGAAGAGAAGUGGCACAGUUUAACUUUGGGACUCAAAUUGGGCAAAAUAUGAAUUUUUUAAUUUUGCGAAAUUUUCAAAAAAUAUCUCUAAACGGAACCGUAAGCAGGAGAAAAAUUCUGAGCACACGAAAAGAACAAGCAGCAAAUUAUAAAAUUUUAUUUAAUUUUAAUUCAUU
rnacentral:lncRNA from 1 species